UUCUCUUCGGGAAUACCAAAGUUAAGCAAUGUUGAGCCUGGCCAGUACCUAGAUGGGUGACCACUUGGGAAUAUGAGGUGCUGUAAG